GAGACCGUGAAUGGUGUUCCCCCCACCGUGACGCCCCUGAUGUGCGGGUGUUGCCUGAUAGCUUGUAGUAGUGGCUCCAAUGUUAAGGCGAAGAGCAGGGGGGACAAUGGGCAACCCUGUCUGGUGCCGUUUCCCAGGGUGAAGGGUGUUGCGCGUGCCCCUGUAAUGAGUAUUUGUGCCCUCAGAUCGGUGUAUAAUGCUCGUAUAGCUGUUAUGAAGGUCUCCGGGAACCCCUGGAAUCGGAGUAAUUCAAAUAAAUAAGGGCAUAACACCCUAUCAAACGCCUUCUCCGCGUCUAGUGAGAGCGCCAGAGAAGGCGCCCCGGAUUCCCCCAUGUGCCAGAUUGUGCUGACCCCUCGUCUCGUAUUUUCAUACAAUUGGC